rnacentral:misc_RNA from 1 species
UAAAUGCGAUCAGUAAUGUGAAUUGCAGAAUUCAGUGAAUCAUCGAAUCUUUGAACGCACCUUGCGCUCCUUGGUAUUCCUUGGAGCAUGCCUGUUUGAGUAUCAUGAAAUCUUCAAAGUAAAUCUUUUGUUAACUCAAUUGGUUUCUACUUUGGUAUUGGAGGUCUUUGCAGCUUCACACCUGCUCCUCUUUGUUCAUUAGCUGGAUCUCAGUGUUAUGCUUGGUUCCACUCGGCGUGAUAAGUUAUCUAUCGCUGAGGACACUGUAAAAGGUGGCCAAGGUAAAUGCAGAUGAACCGCUUCUAAUAGUCCAUUGACUUGGACAAUACUUUUAUGAUCUGAUCUCAAAUCAGGUAGGACUACCCGCUGAACUUAAGC